rnacentral:rRNA from 1 species
GACGAACGCUGGCGGCGUGCUUAACACAUGCAAGUCGAACGGAAAGGCCCCUUUUUGGUUACUCGAGUGGCGAACGGGUGAGUAACACGUGAGUAACCUGCCCUUGACUUCGGGAUAACUUCAGGAAACUGGGGCUAAUACCUGAUAGGAAUCCUUGCUGCAUGGUGGGGGUUGGAAAGCUUCGGCGGUUUUGGAUGGACUCGCGGCUUAUCAGCUUGUUGGUGGGGUAGUGGCUUACCAAGGCUUUGACGGGUAGCCGGCCUGAGAGGGCGACCGGCCAAAUUGGGACUGAGAUACGGCCCAGACUCCUACGGGAGGCAGCAGGGGGGAAUAUUGCAAAAUGGGCGGAAGCCUGAUGCAGCAAAGCCGCGUGCGGGAUGACGGCCUUUGGGUUGUAAACCGCUUUCAGCAGGGGCGAAGCUUGUGGUGACGGUACCUGCAGAAGAAGCACCGGCUAACUACGUG